rnacentral:rRNA from 1 species
AGGUGCGAUCAUACCAGCACUAAUGCACCGGAUCCCAACAGAACUCCAAAGUUAAGCAUGCUUGGGCAAGAGUACUACUAAGAUGGCUUUGUCACAAGACUUUCAAAGACACCAG